CAGAAGGCAAAGAGUGGGAAUAAAGGGGGCCUUUUCUGGUUGGCUGCCGAAACAGAGGCGGUACUGAGGGAGGGUCACACUGUGGAGGGAGUGUAUCGACAUGAGCCCUCUGGCAGGAGGUACAGGAGCCUGAAGACACACACCUCAAGUUCACCGACUGGAUCUUCACCAAGGACUGCAUGAACCACUUGAGAUCCAAAGCCAUAAUGGACUUUCUGGAAAAACAGAUUCCUCCCAGGCUCCCCAUAGUGUAGAACCGUGACAAGGAGUUGCAUUGAGACAGCAUCCGGGAAAUCUCACGCCUCCAUUCACACUUCACUGUCACAGCAAGGGGGAUGUUCCUGUAAUUCAGCUCGUAUUCCUGAUUAUUGAAUGUAAAGAAUAAACAUACA